rnacentral:rRNA from 1 species
CCUACGGGAGGCAGCAGUGGGGGAUAUUGCACAAUGGGGGGAACCCUGAUGCAGCGACGCCGCGUGGGUGAAGAAGCGCCUCGGCGCGUAAAGCCCUGUCAGCAGGGAAGAAAAUGACGGUACCUGAAGAAGAAGCCCCGGCUAACUACGUGCCAGCAGCCGCGGUAAUACGGAGGGGGCAAGCGUUAUCCGGAUUUACUGGGUGUAAGGGGGGCGCAGACGGCGAUGCAAGCCAGGAGUGACAGCCCGGGGCCCAACCCCGGGACUGCUCUUGGAACUGCGUGGCUGGAGUGCAGGAGGGGCAGGCGGAAUUCCUGGUGUAGCGGUGAAAUGCGUAGAUAUCAGGAGGAACACCGGUUGCGAAGGCGGCCUGCUGGACUGCAACUGACGUUGAGGCCCGAAAGCGUGGGGAGCAAACAGGAUUAGAUACCCGGGUAGUC